rnacentral:rRNA from 1 species
ACGCUCGACACCUACGGAGCAGCAGUGGGGAAUAUUGCACAAUGGGGGAAACCCUGAUGCAGCGACGCCGCGUGGAGGAAGAAGGUCUUCGGAUUGUAAACUCCUGUUGUUGGGGAAAAAGAGGAUGGUACCCAACAAGGAAGUGACGGCUAACUACGUGCCAGCAGCCGCGGUAAUCUGAGCGGGCUGGCAAGGC